ensembl:snRNA U6 U6 spliceosomal RNA
GUGCUCGCUUCAGCACGUAUACUACAAUUGGAAAGAUACAGAGAAGAUUAGCAUGGCCCCUGCACAAGGAUGGCACGCAAAUCCGUGAAGCGUUCCAUAUAAUA